rnacentral:tRNA from 1 species
GCCCGGGUGGUGGAAUUGGUAGACGCACGGGACUCAAAAUCCCGCGCCGCAAGGCGUGCCGGUUCGAUUCCGGCCCCGGGCA